rnacentral:lncRNA from 1 species
AAAGAGAUGGAGACACACGGUGAGCCAUCAGGGCAGAAGGAAAACACCCGGGGAAGCAACAGUGCAUUGUCUGGGGGCAGUAACCCAGGCAGAUGUGUCCACAGGUGCCAUGGCAACUCCAGGUGGGAGUUGACCCUGGAGACAGGUGUCUACGAGUGGCCAGAUUGUCCCACGCAAGUGCGCUGGAGGAUGUAAGGCCAUAAAUGCAAGAUAAGGAAAUAGCUACAGAAGAAAUCAGGAGCAUUUUAUUCCAUCAGGGAGGACCCAGCAGAGAACUCUGCUGCUCCAGGAUGCAGGCCCUGGGCAACCAUUCAAGGAUGGCACCCAAGAUGGGACAGAGCUGCUCUGGAAAGGUCUCUGGCCAGCAGUGUGAGAGGAUGGACUGAGGUGGAGGCUACCACAGGGAUGGAGGAGUCUUAGAACCUGCUCCAAAUGAAGUAUGGAUAUUAUGUCCAGAUGCUACCCAGGGGCUGAAUCAUGGGAAUCAGGGAAGAACAGACAGAGAACUUCAAUUCACAGCAUUCGUCCAGGCCACCUCUGUAUAAAUGUUCUCAAAUUCUAGAGUGCUUCCAUCCCUCUGGGACUUUUAUGGCAUUUUAUAAGUUGUAUUUAACUUCUAGGUGAAAUAGGGAUGUGGCACUGAGGAUCAACUACAGAGAGAGGUAAAGAAGAGCAUGUGGCCAGAGAAGAGAUUUUUGGCUUCAUUCAGAAUAAUUUACUUUUAUUUUUAUUUUUAGUAAAGAUGGCAUCUUGCCAUAUGUUUGCCAGGUUGGUCUUGAACUCCUGGCCUUAAAGAAUCUCCCCACCUUCCAGAUUGCUAGGAUUAUAGGAAGGAGCCACUGUGCCUGGCCCCCGAAUAAUUUCUGAGCACUACCUAGUCUGCUUUAAGCAAAACUAAAAGUUGGCUAUUUUGUCAUGUGCUAAAAAUGCAGGAGGCGCUCACAGAG